GUAUAAAUGCAAGUAAGGAUCCUUCUAAACCGGGGAUUAGGAGGGCUUGCUAAAACCUCUAAACUAACUCAAAGACAUAAAAACAAAGUUAAAAACGUUUGAAUAGACUCAAAGGACUCAAAACAAAUUCUAAAGACGCAAAACAACUUAAAAACACUCAAAAUUGCCUAAAAACACUUACUGGGCAGAUUUGACUCUAACACAACUUUGGACGAAAUUUGGGUUUUGACUUGAAUCAAAACACUCAAAAACACUAACGAAAUAGAAAUAUAACACUUUGAAACAACAAAGUAAAAUGGGGAUUUUGGUUUUGAUGAAUUUGAAACAAGCAAACAAGUUAUAAAACUAGGCAGAUUGUAAGACAAAUUUGAGGAAUACUGAUAGGAGCAUAUUUAUGCGCCUUAGUUAGCUAGUUCUUAUGCAUUUUCGUUAUGUUUUCUUCGUUAAAUUAGUCUUUUAAGCUACUCUCAUGUGUUUUCAGGUUUAAAGGACAUAUUACAUGAAAUGAUGCAAUUUGGAGCUUUUUGGAGCAAAAAGUGAGCUUGGAUUGAAAAGUACAUGCUUGGAACACAAGGUUGGGAUGAAAUUGAAGAUUUGAAGAUUUGAGGAUUCCUAGUACAAGAAGGAUUCCUAGUCCGAGGAGGAGUCCUAACUGAAGAAGGAUUCCUAAUCAACGAGGGAUUCCUAGUUGAAGAUGGAUUCCGAGAAGAACGAAGAUUCCUACUCAAACGAGGUUUCCUACUUGAAGUAGGAAAGCUA
rnacentral:lncRNA from 1 species